CUUGCAGGCAUUCUUCAGAAACUUGUGCAGGUAUCCUAUGUUUCUCCAGCCAGUGUUCCUCUUGGUCUAAUCACCUAAUUACCCUCUUUGAGGCUGUUGAUACUGAGACAUUUGGACAGCUAAAAUUAUGUUCUAGGAACUUGCCUUUUUAUUAGGAAUAAGCCCAUUGCAGAAGUCAAAUGGUCAUGGGGUUGGGGAUUUAGCUCAGAGGCAGAGUGCUUGCCUAGCAUGCACAGGGCCCUGAGUUCGGGCCUCAGCCCUGGGUGGGGGGAAAAAAGAAGUUAGAUGGUCACAUCCUCACUGAUAAGGACUUAUAUCUGCUCUUACACCUGCUUCCCUGAUUUCUGACAUACUGAUUGCCUUGUCUUCUGGAAAAAGAUUUCCUUCUAACCCACAGUCCUAUCUUGAUCUCUAUUUUUGGCUUAGCCUUCAGGACCAGUUUCCCCCUUUUUUUCCCCAUGAUGAAUCAAUCCCUGUGGGACUGCUGUUAUUUUCAGAACACCAGGGGGCAAUUAGGGAGCAAUUAUAAUUCUUGAGUAAGGGAGUGACAUGAUGAAGUUGAUGUUUUAGGAAGAUUAAUGGAGACUGAAAUCAGCAAGGCCAUCUAAAGAACACUUAUAGUAAUAACACCAUUGGAGGGUAAAUAUUAUAGCAUUAUUUUGUCUAAUCCUUACAAUCUCCCAGCGAAGGGAUCACAUCUGAGAAAUAGGCUGCUGAUGGAAGGAUCUAUUCCAGCUUAUAUAUAUGUCAAUUCAUGGUUAGGUGUCUGGCAUUUCAAAGGUGCUUGAUUACCAUUUGAGUGAGAACUUGAAUGCAAAGCUAGGACUUGGAUUCAAGUGUGGUAGCUGAGAGGAGGUGAGGCAGAAGAAUGGAAGCCUGAGUAUUUGGAACUUGUGUUCAGUGCUGAAAGAGGAGAUGGAUGAAACAGGCUGCCAAGAACCUGAGUGUGAUUUCAGGGCAAACGAGAGAGCCAGGGAAAUAGGGGAGAGAUGGCUGGAUUCGAGUUUGACUUCUGUUGCUAUGUCCUUGGACUCGUGUGACCACAUGGAACUAUCUGGUAGUUAACUGAAUGUUAGCAUGCAGGAGGGCAUGUAUCAAAUCUUGAGUAUCUACUCACCAGUUUGUUUUGGUUACCAAUCUUAACUCUAGGUGUCCACCAGAGGGCAUCAGAACCCAGGACUCAGUGGUGCUUCAUUUGAGAAUAGCCCACAGUGACCUCAGGGUUUUGUAAUCUCUUACUCUAGCUAGGCUUUUGUGGGAGUGGCUGGCAGCAAGCAGCUCCUCCUGAUGCCCUAGUAAGGUUUUAGAAACUGAAUUGCCUGGGGGCAUGUGAGCUGGUCCCUUCAGCAGCUCCAGGGAGCUGUGACCUGGGCAAUAGGGUGAAGGCACAGUUUGUUCUUGGUCCUAGGAGAACAUGGCCACGGUUGGCAGAUACCCCUCACCUAAGGAUUCUUUGAGAAAUCCCUCCUUUCACCUAUACUAAGAGGUUAAUGUCCCCUUCUUGACUCUGAAAUCCUUUGCCUUUGUUAAAUCACUUCUGAUCCCACAAUUUACUUCCCUUGGCCUGAGCUCAGGCACUUUCUAGGUACCAAAGGUGUAUUAGGAAACAGAGGGGCUGGGGACGUGGCUCAAGCG
rnacentral:lncRNA from 1 species